rnacentral:rRNA from 1 species
GGCGGACGGGUGAGUAAUGGCUGGGAACCUGCCCUGACGUGGGGGAUAACAGUAGGAAACGACUGCUAAUACCGCAUGAUGUCUACGGACCAAAGAGGGGGAUCUUCGGACCUCUCGCGUCGGGAUGGGCCCAGUUGGGAUUAGCUAGUUGGUGAGGUAAUGGCUCACCAAGGCGACGAUCCCUAGCUGGUUUGAGAGGAUGAUCAGCCACACUGGAACUGAGACACGGUCCAGACUCC